rnacentral:misc_RNA from 1 species
UCUACGGCUACUUCUUCGUCGUGAUGCUCAAUUACUUCAUCGAGCAGAGCAUGUCGAUGGGCGGCGGCGGGUCGCAGAACGUCAACGAGAUGAUGAUUCGGCCGCUGAUGCAGAACGUGACGGUGCUCCUGCUCUUCGUCAUGCCCGCCAUCACAAUGCGAACCUACUCGGAGGAAAAGCGCUCGGGCACGAUCGAACUGCUUCUCACGUCUCCGCUGACAGACCUUCAGAUCAUCCUCGGCAAAUUCUUUGGCGCGCUCGCGCUGUAUGCCGUGAUGCUGGCCAUCACGCUCGUUCAUCUCGCCGUGCUCUUCUUAUACGGAAACCCCGAACUGCUUCCCAUCGCGA